UCCUCUACACUAAGUCCUAGGUGGACGGGUUAGGGGGGUCAUAGUCAGCUGUGGGUGAAAUUGGAGGUGGCAACCUGUAUGUUCUUACUGCCUUCAGGGACAUGGGAUGCAAGAAUUUGACCCGAUAGUGGCCCUCAGCAUGCUGGGACUGGGUCUUCUUGGAGUCGGGUUGCUUGGGAGUGCAGCCCAAAGGUGGUGGUAAACUCCAUCUAAGGCUAAAUACUGGCAUGAGACCAAUAGUCAACAAGUACCAUAAGGGAAAGUUGAAAAGAACUUUGACGUGAGAGUUCAAGCCUUCUGAUCGAGGC
rnacentral:ncRNA from 1 species